GCUGUCUCAGAAUUAUUUUAUCGAAUUUACUGUAUAGAUGAAAAAGUCUAUAAAUCCAAAAAAGACGAGAAGACCCUUAGAAUUUAAAUAAAACCGAAUAGUUUUUCGUAAUAUUUUUGUUGGGGCGACAAGAAGACAAUUAACUUUAACUCUUCUGAUAAUAUAAGACGAUUAGUAAUAAGGUCGGAUAAAUUACCUGAGGGAUAACAGCAUAAUUUUAUGAUUAAGUUUGUGACCUCGAUGUUGGACUAGGAAAUUAAUAGACUAGCCGUUUAUUAUAUUGGUUCUGUUCGAACUGUUUUUCCUACAUGAUCUGAG
rnacentral:rRNA from 1 species